AUUGCGUAACUCAUGAAUAUCAAUCAAUUUUUGUAUAGAAAGUUGAAAAUAUUAAACUUCAAGUACAGUUUUAUUAACUGUACAAAUAUUUGCCGAGUUACUUCCUCGUUAUUACCGCUUCGCUGCACUACUUAUCUAUUUUGCAAAGGCAAUUCCUUCAACUCUGAUUUCGAUACCCUUUAACUAGUAGAGCCGCUGUUUCUUUUUUCAUUGUGUGCUUAUAAGGGUAAUUUGUUGCAGGACGGAUUUUUCAAUUGCAUCAAUACUCAAUCGCAUCAGAAGUCAAUUUGAAAAAAUAAAAUAUUUACAAUGUACUAAUCACACUACUAGUUGCACUCGCCGAAUUCUUGAUUCGGUAUUGUAAAAUCAUUUCUAACAAUUCAAUGUAAAGAAGUUGCCCUUU